UGCGUAGGGUGCGAGCGUUAAUCGGAAUUACUGGGCGUAAAGCGUGCGCAGGCGGUUCGUUGUGUCGGUGGUGAAAUCCCCGGGCUUAACCUGGGAAUGGCCAUGGAAACUGGCGAACUGGAGUGUGGCAGAGGGGGGUGGAAUUCCGCGUGUAGCAGUGAAAUGCGUAGAGAUGCGGAGGAACACCGAUGGCGAAGGCAGCCCCCUGGGCUAGCACUGACGCUCAGGCACGAAAGCGUGGGGAGCAAACAGG
rnacentral:rRNA from 1 species